GAUGAACGCUGCGGCGUGCCUAAUACAUGCAAGUCGAGCGAACAGACGAGGAGCUUGCUCCUCUGACGUUAGCGGCGGACGGGUGAGUAACACGUGGAUAACCUACCUAUAAGACUGGGAUAACUUCGGGAAACCGGAGCUAAUACCGGAUAAUAUAUUGAACCGCAUGGUUCAAUAGUGAAAGACGGUUUUGCUGUCACUUAUAGAUGGAUCCGCGCCGCAUUAGCUAGUUGGUAAGGUAACGGCUUACCAAGGCAACGAUGCGUAGCCGACCUGAGAGGGUGAUCGGCCACACUGGAACUGAGACACGGUCCAGACUCCUACGGGAGGCAGCAGUAGGGAAUCUUCCGCAUUGGGCGAAAGCCUGACGGAGCAACGCCGCGUGAGUGAUGAAGGUCUUCGGAUCGUAAAACUCUGUUAUUAGGGAAGAACAAAUGUGUAAGUAACUAUGCACGUCUUGACGGUACCUAAUCAGAAAGCCACGGCUAACUACGUG
rnacentral:rRNA from 1 species